rnacentral:rRNA from 1 species
CCGGCGACCGGCGCACGGGUGAGUAACGCGUAUGCAACCUGCCCGUUUCAGCGGGAUAACCCGGAGAAAUCCGGCCUAAUACCGCAUGUGGCCGAGGGGAGGCAUCUUCUUUCGGCCAAAGGGAGGCGACUCCGGAGACGGAUGGGCAUGCGUGACAUUAGCUUGUUGGCGGGGUAACGGCCCACCAAGGCGACGAUGUCUAGGGGUUCUGAGAGGAAGGUCCCCCACACUGGUACUGAGACACGGACCAGACUCCUACGGAAGGCAGCAG